AUACGGAGGGUGCAAGCGUUAAUCGGAAUUACUGGGCGUAAAGCGUACGUAGGCGGUUCGUUAAGUUAGAUGUGAAAGCCCCGGGCUUAACCUGGGAACUGCAUUUAAAACUGGCGAACUAGAGUUGAGUAGAGGGGAGUGGAAUUUCAGGUGUAGCGGUGAAAUGCGUAGAAAUCUGAAAGAACACCAGUGGCGAAGGCGACUCCCUGGACUCGAACUGACGCUGAGGUACGGAAGCGUGGGUAGCAAACGGGAUUAGAAACCCUAGUAGUCC
rnacentral:rRNA from 1 species